rnacentral:rRNA from 1 species
AACCCGCCUGCAUGAAGCCGGAAUCGCUAGUAAUCGCGGAUCAGAAUGCCGCGGUGAAUACGUUCCCGGGUCUUGUACACACCGCCCGUCACACCAUGGGAGUCGGGAAUGCCCGAAGUCAGUGGCCCAACCGGAAGGGGGGAGCUGCCGAAGGCAGGCCCGGUGACUGGGGUGAAGUCGUAACAAGGUAGC